CCGAACCCGUGCCAAUCCCGAUCCUUUCUCCCCUUCUUCCUCCUCUGUUCUCUCUUGCGGACGAUCGACGCCGACGGGAGAAGGCUUCAGCUCCGACGAUCUUUUCUCUGCCGGCAUCGACCCUUUAGCUCAUAUCCAGCCGAAGUUUUCUCCUCCUCGCUCUAAUCUCUCUGUUCUCUCACGGGGACGAAUCGACGCCGAGCGUGGAUGAACCGACGCCGACGGUCGCCGGUGUAGAUCUAUUCUCGGAGCUUGCCGGAGAUCAAUCAAGGAGGCACGGAUCAUCUUGAUCUCCUCUUCUCAACCCAUCCCCGAGUUUUCCUCCCAGUUCUGCCGAUCCUUUCUUCCCCGAUCCGUGCACCGGCUUGAAGAUGCCCUAGGGUUUCGAGGUUGUCGCGAAGACAAAGGCGUGCCCUAGCUGUGGAUUUGAUUUGUGAUCUUCAAUCUUAAUCUGAUCAAUGAAUUCUUGUGUGAUUCCUUCUUGAUCCGAAUGAUUUCCAGUGUGGUUCUGUUCUGAUCAGUGAUGUGUGCUAGAUGGUGAUCUAGAAAAGCUUACACUUCUUACUUCUCCAAAUCUAGAAUUAAAUCAGUUGCUUGGCAGGAAAGGCUUUUGGCAGGAGAGAUAAUAAUUAAGUGGUAAAUAGAAGAGAAAGCUCCAAAAUCUCCUCGUCUUUUCUUCCUGUAAUGUAACUCAUGGAAAGUGGAACUAAAUACUUUAAUUUGGUCAUGGAACCAAAUCAAACGACGAACUUACGGAAAUUAAUGAGAGGCGAACAGUGGAAGCUUGUGGAUUUUAUAAUUUAGAUUGAAGAUUCCAUGUCACAAACUUAAGGAUAUCAUUGGCAGUUGUUGGAUCCAAGAGUUUUGCCAUCUUUUGAUUUUGACAUUUCUCUUUGAAUUAUGAACUCGAAGCUUCUGCGUGCGUUAAUGGCGUCAUGUUUCCUAUCAGUUUGGCAGUAGCAGUUCCUCGUGCAAGCGAA